UUAAUUGUUAAAAAGUAAUGUUUGUUAAAACAGUGGGAGGAGUCACUGGCUAUAUAAGAGGGCUUUGUUCAGUUCCCUCUGGUAUUUUUUUUUUGUCUGGCAUGAAGGAGGUAGCUUGCUGAGCAGUGUCUGUUCACUGGACCAGUCUGUGAUUGGGUUUUUUUUGUAAGUAAUCUUUUGAGUUGUUCUUUUUGUUCUCCUCACUUUUUUUUUCUUGUAAAGAUCCUGCACUGCACUAUGGCCGGCACCAAUAAAAAUUUCACCUAAAUUUUACCCAACUACGCCUGUGGGUCUUCGAAACGUCAGUGAAGAAGAGAACCUCGCAACAGUUGACCCCCAAGGAUUUCUCCCGGGCCCAUUAAAGUCACAUUACCCAUCCAUCUUUCUCUUCAUUCAUUGACUUACAACCGCUUAUCUGAUGUGUCACGGUGGCUGCAGGAUAAGCAAGUGAGUACAAAAAUUUUCUCCAUCAGCAACAUUUUUUUGCUGCUUCAGUGGAUACCAGAGUGUCCCAGGUGAGAAAUGUAAUUGAAGUUGGAUGUCUCUGGAAAACUCUUCAUUUGGAUGGUGCCUAAAAUGCAUCCUAUUCAGAUGCCAAACCCCACCUUACCUGGCUUCCUAUGAUGGAAAAGAGGGAUGUCUGGACUCCUUCCCCAUUCCCUAAACCUUAAGCUGAGCCCAUGUCAUCCUGUAUUGCCAGCUUGUCGCAGUUACUUGCACUCCCUAUCUAAUUCUGUUGGUCGCCACCCAAGACUCAUGACUGUAGGCCAAGUUUGGAAAGAAGAUCCAGCACUCUCUUCAUCCCAAUUAUUUUCAAUCUCUGCAUACCUGAUGAUGCACCAACCCACCUGUCAACAUUGCCGUUCAUGUUUCUCUUAUUCUUGUUAAAUCCUGAGAGACAUUUGAAGUCUUUUGUAAGUCCUUAUGUCCAAAUCAACAACCUCUGGUCCCACUCUUAAAGAUGAGGAUCAUCAUUGUAGUCUGUAACUCUUCAGGCAGUCCCUUUCCUCUAUAUAAGACUGAAGAGCCAUGUCAGAGAUAUCCAGUCUCUACAGCAGCUCCUCUAAACCUGCCACCUCUCUGCAGAAGACUUAACAUCAUAUAAGAAGGUUUUCCAUCUGCAUGUCCUGAUGCCAAUAUUUAAGAGGAUUUAUGAGGAUGAUACUGUAGUUUAAGUCUGUAGCAGUAUGACAAGUUACGAAUAAACUCCAACACUUCAUGGUU